GGGAGCGCGCGUGGCGGGGCGCGCCCUCGGUCCCUUCCCCGGGAGGUGAGUGGUUGACCGGUCCGCCGGGGAGCCGGGGAGCGCCGGGGAGCCAAGCUGCAAGUGUCCCUCAGCAACUAGUCUCGCUGAGAUCCGACCCAGAGUUCGGCCUCUGACUGGACGCCUGGGAAUCCACUCCACGUUCUUCGGGGACUCUUGGACUUACACCAGCGUUUUGCCGAGGGCUCUGUAGGCUGCACUGUCAGCUUCCCUACUUUUGAGACUUUUGGACUCGGACUGAGCCACUACUGGCUUCCUUCUUUCUCAGCUUGGAGACGGCCUGUCAUGGACUUCGCCUUGUGAUCCUGGCAGGUGCAAGUGUGUUAGCCCCACCUGAACUGCAUGAACAGACUCGUUACUGCGAAGAGGGGAGCCGUAAUCAAAAGAAAGGAAAAGGAGCACAGUUGAAUCUAAUUAACAGGUGUUAAUUAUACCUUGCACAUUUUUAGAAUUCCGUGAAAUGAAAAAUGAACAUUCUUUAAAAAAUAAUUUAGUUUUUCAACCAUUGUCCACUCCCACCCCAAGUAGUCCUGUUUGUAUUGUUGCCAUCUGUAUGUCCAUGAGUACCCAAUAUUUGGUUCACACUUGUAAGUGAAAACGUGGUAUUUGGCUUUCUGUUCCUGCGUUAAUUCACUUAGGAUAAUGGCUACAUCCAUGUUGCUGCAAAGGACAUGAUUUCAUUCUUUGUUUUUAUGACUCCAUAAUGUUUCUGUUGUGUAUGUACCACAUUUUUUACCCCGUCCACCACUGAUGGGCACCUAGGUUGAUCCCAUGUCUUUGUUAUUGUGAAUAGUGCUGCGAUGAAUAUAUACAUGCAUAUGUCUUUUGGUAGAAUGAUUUAUUUUCUUUUGGAUAUAUACCCAGUAAUGGGAUUGCUGGGUCAAAUGGUACUUUUGUUUUCAGGUUUUUGAGAAAUCUCCAAACUGCUUUCUUUGCACACUGGCUGAACUAAUUUACAUUCCCAUCAACAGUGUAUACAGGUUCCCUUUUCUCUGCAGCCUUGUCAGCAUCUGUUAUUUUUUUACUUUUUAGCAAUAGCUAUUCUGACUGGUAUGAUAUGGUAUUUUAUUGUGAUUUGAUUUGCCUUUCUCUAAUGAUUAGUGAUAUGGAGCAUUUUUUUCAUAUAUUUGUUGGCUGCUUGUAUUUUUUUUUUUUUUUUGGAGAAGUGUCCAUGUCUUUUCUCCAUUUUUAAUGGGGUUAUUUGUUUUUGCUUGUUCAAUUGUUUAAGUUACUUAUAGAUUCUGGGUAUUAGACCUUUGUCAGAUGUGUAGUUUGCAAAUAUUUUCUUCCAUUCUGUAGGUUGUCCAUAUAAUUUGUUAAUAACUUAUCCUGCUGUGUGGAAGCUCUUUAGUUUAAUUAGGUCCCACUUGUCAAUUUUUGUUUUCAUUGCAAUUGCUUUUGAGGACUUAGUCAUAAAUUAUUUCCGAAGGCCAAUGUCCCUAAUGGUGUUUCCUAGGUUUUCUUCUAGUAGUCUUAUAGUUUGAGGUUUUAAAUUUAAAUCUUUAAUCUAUCUUGAGUUCAUUUUUGUAUAUGGUGAAAUGUAGGGGUUGAAUUUCAUUCUUCUGCGUAUUGCUAGGCAGCUAUCCCAGCACCAUUUAUUGAAUAGGAAGUCCUUUUUCCAUUGCUUAUUUUUGUCACCUUUGUCAAGAUCAGAUGGCUGUAGGUGUGCAGCUUCACUUCUGGAUUCUCUAUUCUGUUCCAUUUAUCUAUGUGUCUGUUUUUGUUGUAGCCUUAUAGUAUAGCUUGAAGUCAGGUAAUGUGAUGCCUCUGGCUUUGUUGUUUUUGCUUGGAAUUGCUUUGGCUAUUCAGGCUCUUUUUUGGUUCCAUAUGAAUUUUAGAAUAGUUUUUUUCUAGUUCUGUGAAAGAUGACAUUGGUAGUUUGAUAGGAAUAGUGUUGAAUAUGUAGAUUCCUUUGGCAGCAUGGCCAUUUUAACAAUAUUGACUCUUUUUCCGUGUUUUGUUUUGUUUUUUCUUUUUGUUUUUUUUGAGACGGAAUCUCCCUCUGUUGCUCAGGCUGGAGUGCAACCUCUGCCACCCAGGUUCAAGUGAUUCUCUUGCCUCAGCUUACUGAGUAGCUGGGAUUACAGGCAUGUGCCACCAUACCUGGCUGACUUUUGUAUUUUUAUUAGAGAUGGGGUUUUACCAUAGUGGCUAGGCUGGUCUCAAACUCCUGACCUCAAGUGAUCUACCCACCUCGGCCUCCCAAAGUGCUGGAAUUACAGGCAUGAGCCACCAUGCCCAGUGGUAUUUAUUCUUCUGAUCCAUGAGCAUGGAAUGCAUUUGUGUCAUCUAUGAUUUCUUUGAGCAGUGUUUUAUAGAUCUCCUUGUAAUGAUCUUUCAUCUCCCUGUUUAGAUGUAUUCCGAGGUAUUUUGUGUGUGUGUGGCUAUUGUAAAUGGGAUUGUAUUCUUGGUUUGGCUCUCAGCUUGAAUGUUGGUAUAUAGAAAUGCUACUGAUACUUGUACAUUGAUUUUGUAUCCUGAAACUUUACUGAAGUCAUCUAUCAGUUCUCUGAGCCUUUUUAUGGUGUCUUUAGAGUUUUCUAGGUAUAGAAUCAUAUUGUCCGUGGAGACUGAUAUUUUGACUUAUUUUCUGAUUUGAAUGCCUUUUAUUUAUUUCCUUUGCCUGAUUGCUCUGGCUAGCAAUGUACUACGUUGAAUAGGAGUGGUGAGAGUGGGCAUCCUUGUGUUGUUCCAGUUCUUAAGGGAAAUGCUUCCAGUUUUUUUUGUCCAUUCAGUAUGAUGUUGGCUGUGGGUUUUACAUAGAUGGCUCUUAUUUUUGGAGGUAUGCUCCUUAGAUGCCUAGUUUCUUGAGGGUUUUUAUCAAGAAGCAAUGUUGGGUUUCACUGAAAGCUUUUUCUGUGUUUAUUGAGAUGAUCAUAUGGUUUUUGUUUUUAAUUCUGUUUCUAUGGUCAAUCACAUUUCUUGAAUUGUGUAUGUUGAACCGACCUUGCAUCCUAGGAAUGAAGCCUACUUAAUUGUGGUGAAUUAACUUUUUGAUGUGCUGUUGGAUUUGGUUUGCUAGUAUUUUGUUGAGGAUUUUUGCAUCUAUGUUCGUCAGGUAUAUUGGCCUGGAGUUUCUUUUUUUUUUUUUUUCUGUUGUGUCUUUGGUAGGUUUUGGUAUCAGGGUGAUGCUGGCUUUGUAGAAUGAGUUAGGGAGGAGUACUUCCUCCAUGAUUUUUUAAAAAAUAGUUUCAGUAGAAUUGGUAUAAGCACUUUGCAUUUUUAGUAGAGAUGGGAGCUUCACCACAUUGGCCAGGCUGAUCUUGAACUCCUGACCUCAAGUGAUCCAUCAGCCUUGGCCUUUGGCCUCCCAAAGUGCUGGGAUUACAGGCAUGAGCCACUGGUCUCAAUUUCACUUAGUUUUUCUCUGAUUUUAGUUAUUUUUCUGCUAGGUUGGGGAUUAAUUUGUUUUUGUUUUUCUAGUUCCUCUAGGUGUGAUAUUAGGUUGUCAAUUUAAGAUUUUUUCAAGCUUUUUGAUGUAGGCAUUUAUUGCCAAAAAUACUACUCUUACCACUGUUUUUGCAGCAUCCCAGAUAUUUGUUAUGUUGUGUCUCUAGUUUCAUUUAUUUCAAAGAAUUUUUUGAUUUUUGCUUUAAUUUUAUUGUUUAUCCAAAAGUCAUUCAGGAGCAAGUUAUUUAAUUUCCAUGUAACUUUGUGGUUUUGAGAGAUUUAGGUAUUAAUUUCUAUUUCUGUUCCACUGUGGUCUGAGAGUAAGAUUCCUAUGUUUUUGAAUUUACUGAGGCUGACGUAAGUAUAUCUUGAUAUUUUGCUACUGUCAUUUGGGAGCAUACUCUAAAAAAUAUAAAUAUGGCAAAGCAUAUUGCCCUGCUCUGGCCCCGUUUCUUCUUCUUCUCCUCCUCUAGAGGCAACCACAGCUUUUUAAAAUAUAAAUAUAUAACUUUUAGUGUAUAUGCACGUAUCCAUAGAGAAUAUACAAAUUAUUAUUUGUAUUUCUAAAUUAAACAUAAAUAGCAUCAUAGUUUAUAGGUUCGUUUUCAACUUGCCUUUUAACAGCAUUUUUUGAACUAUACAAUCUGAUACAUGGAAAUCGAGUUUAUUCCUUUUAUCUGUUUAUUAUUCUAUUGUAUCAUUGCGGGAAGUCAGGGACGCCGAAUGGAGGGACCAGCUGAAGCAAUGGCAGAAGAACAUAGAUUGUGAAGAUUUCAUGGACAUUUAUUAGUUCCCCAAAUUAAUACUUUUAUAAUUUCUUACACCUGUCUUUACUGCAAUCUCUGAACAUGAAUUGUGAAGAUUUCAUGGACAUUUAUCACUUCCCCAAUCAAUACUCUUGUGAUUUCCUAUGCCUGUCUUUACUUUAAUCUCUUAAUCCUGUCAUCUUCAUAAGCUGAGGAUGAAUGUCACCUCAGGACCCUGUGAUGAUCGUGUUAACUGCACAGAUUGUUUAAACAAUAUGAAAUCUGGGUACCUUGAAAAAAGAACAGGAUAACAGCGAUGUUCAGGGAACAAGGGGGAUAACCAUUAGGUCUGGCUGCCUGAGAGCCGGGCGAAACAGAGCCAUAUUUCUCUUCUUUCAAAAGCAGAUAGGAGAAAUAUCGCUGAAUUCUUUUUCUCAGCAAGGAACAUCCCUGAGGAGAAUGUGUUCCCAAGAGGAGGUCUCUAAAGUGGCCAGUUUGGGAACAUCUGUCUUUUACGCUUGUAGAUAAGCGAUGAAAUAAGCCCCAGUCUCCCGUAGCGCUCCCAGGCUUAUUAGGAUGAGGAAAUUCCCGCCUAAUAAAUUUUGGUCAGAUCGGUUGUCUGCUCUCAAACCCUGUCUCCUGAUAAGAUGUUAUCAAUGACAAUGUGUGCCUGAAACUUCAUUAAUUUUGCCCCCGUCCUGUGAUCUCGCCCUGCCUCCAUUUGCCUUGUGAUAUUUUAUUACCUUGUGAAGCAUGUGAUCUCUGUGACCCACACCCUAUUCAUACACCCCCUCCCCUUUUGAAAAUCACUAAUAAAAACUUGCUGGUUUUGUGGCUUGGGGGGCAUCAUGGAAACUGCCGACAUGUGGUGUCUUCCCCGACACCCAGCUUUAAAAUUUCCCUCUUUUGUACUCUUUCCCUUUAUUUCUCAGACCGGCCAACACUUAGGGAAAAUAGAAAAGAACUUACAUGAAAUAUUGGGGGCUGGUUUUCCCUGAUAUUGUAUGAAUAUAAGAGAAAUUAUCCAUUCCUCUACUAAGGGAGAGUUAGAAUGAUUUUGAUUUUUUUAAAAUUUUUACUAAACUACUUAAUUGCUAUAGUUUUAUAGUGCAUCUUGACAUCUGGAUGUCUGGGUAGUGCAAGUCCCCUUCAGUUCCCCUUCAGAAUGUCUCUAUUCUUAGGCCUUUACUAUCUGAAUCUUAGGACUACCUUUUCAGAUUACAUAAAACCCAGCCAUGAGUUUGAUUUUGAUUGGAAUUGUAUUGCAUAUGCAGGUUAAUUAGUGAUGAACAACAUGUUGAUGAGGUUAAGUAUUCCUACUUAAGAACAUGGCUGCCAGGUGUGGUGGCUCA